rnacentral:lncRNA from 1 species
GCCAUUUUGGUUUUUCCAUUUGCAGGUUUCUCCUUCCGUGUGACAGUUCGUCCAUGUGAGGAAAGCAGAAGCAUCCCACUUGGCCCCCACUGUCCACUGCUGCCAUUCAUUAAACCUGCCUCUUUCUGCAGGUAUGGCGGAGCAGAAUCACUGACUUGUGAAAGCUCUCCAGGCCCUUCCUACAAGCCUCUGGGACAACCAAGACGGUGGCCUUUCAGAGCUGGGAUUGAGGUGAGCUGGGGGAGUGGGGAGGAUCACACAUGGAAUGCCAUUUUUCCCCUACCACCCCACUUCUUCACAAACCACAGGGAAGAGAGGAAGGCGAGGCUAAGAGACACUCUAGUUAGCAUAAAGCGCCGAGGACCGGACUCCACGCUGAGUCCAUCGGAGGCAGAGUGUAGCCUCACAGAGGUUUCCUGCGCUGCUGCCAUCUUGCUGAGACAGCUUAGACAGCUCGGGAUGGCCACCCCCUAGGUCCAACCCAUUACACACUUCAGGGACUGGUGGGGAGAGUGUAGAGGGGUGGCUCAACAAUUCAGAACACUAGUUGUUCUUGCAGAGGACCCAGCUUCCUUUCCCGGCAUCCACAUGGUGGCUCACAACCAUCCGUGAUUCCAGCUCCAGAAAAUCUGACACCCUCUUCUGACCUCCACAGACAGCAGACACAUAUCUGGUGCACAGACAUCCAUGCAGGCAAAAACGUUCAUGCAAUUAAAUAAUCUUUAAAAACUCUUCCAAAGUUGAAUUGUAUGGU